rnacentral:lncRNA from 1 species
AUGGAACCACCUCACUAUGUUGCCCUGGCGGUCCUCAUCGCGCAGCAAUCCUAGCGAAUGGGGCAUUAGAGGGCAAGCACCCCAACAGACCGCCACUGUCUGCCCAAACUCGAUCACUAUCUUGACGGAGCAAGACCAAGCGCUUACGGCCGUUGCACAACAAUUGCACCCUCGAGACGUGAAAGGAACACAAGACUGCUAGACCUACGCAAAGCAAUCCAAGCAGC